UAUAUUAAUUAACCUUGUCAAAACUGGUACGGACAAGGGCAAUCUGACUGGUUAAUUAAAACAAAGCAUUGUGAUGGUCCUUGCGGAUGCUAACACAAUGUGAUUUAUGCCCAGUGCUCUACAUUUUAAAGUGAAUAAAUUCAACCAAGCGCGGGUAAACGGUGGGAGUAACUAUGACUCUCUUAAGGUAGUCAGAUGCAUUUAUGUCAUCUAAUUAGUAACGUGCAUGAAUGGAUUAACGAGAUUCACACUGUCCCAAGCUACUAUCUAGAGAAACCACAGCCAAGGGAAUGAGCUUGGAAGAAUUAGAGGGGAAAGAAGACCCUAUUGAUCUUGACUCUAGUCCAACUUUGAAAAAUGACUUGAGAGGUGUAUAAUAAGUGGGAGUUGUUUUCAACGCAAUUGAAAUACCACUACUUUUAACGUUAUUUUACUUAUUUUGUGGGGCAGAGAUGAGGCCACAUUGCACAUAUGUUAAAAGAUAAUGCACAUUUCCUCAAAGUGUUGUCAUUGAUGCCAUUAAUGGUUGAAAGCUCAUUCUUCACACACUUUAUGGCAAUGAGUUUAGGAAACCAAAGAGGAUCAUUUCUUUUAAGGAUGAAGAAAGUUCCCACAAUCCCUAUUUUUUUAGCCAGCAUCCCCCUAUAAGUAUCUAUGUUAUGGUUCCUCCUCGU
rnacentral:ncRNA from 1 species